AAAAGGAAGUUGAAACGUGCUCACAUGCCCAUGUUACAUGUGGCCAUGUUCUCUAUGCUUAAAGAAGUCCAGACAGACACACAAACAGGUUAGAGUCAAAACUAGUUACAAUGCAGGGGAGUCAGAGACCACAAUUCAUCUGUGGACUGCGAUACAUAACAAUAGGGCUUACUUUGUUUUUCCUUUACUUUAUAUUUAUUUGUCAAGGGAUGGUUGGUUCAGGUGUGUUUCAAUGUCCCAGACAGCCUUUUAUCUCCCUCUACAUGUCCCUGUAUGGGAUCAUACCGGUCUUCUUGGCACUGAGCUUAUGGUGUAACUGGUGCAACAGUGUCUGUUGGUCUGUAACCACCAUCUUCUUCUGUUGCUGGUUUAUUGCUGGUAGUAUUGUCAUCUACUCCAUUUAUGAACCCAAGUACGACAAGACUACAGCGCAGCCUGAUCUCUACUGCAACAAGACACUCUACCUGUUCGCAUUUUGGUUCACCAACAUGACAUACAUACUGUUAGCACUGCUCUUUUUAUCCUAUUGCUGUUGUAGACAACGAGGUGAUGGUGAUAAUGAGACUCAAACACUUGUGCGGUAAUAAAUAGAGACAAAGCAAACUUAAUUAAAAAGAUAAUCAUACACUGUCAGUAAAUGAGGGCAAAUAAUGCAUUUAAAGGCAGUUUGCCUGUUUGUCUUAUGUAGAUAUAAUCAAAUGUUCUAAUGAGCAAUGUACAUGUUUGAUCUUUUAUCAGAGAAGAAUGACAAUUUAUAUUUUAAGUAAUUAAUGUUGGAGGUUUACUCUUUUUAAAUACUUUUGCAGCAGUACUCUGUUACGUAAUGACAUCCUUAGAUAUGAAUAAUAUCCUUUUUUUUCAUCCCAUUGAUUCUCUAAUAGGUCGGUUUUAUGAGCUUGUGAGCGCAGAAAUACCAAAUGUGUGAGGCUGAAUACUGAGGAAACAUCAUAGAAAUGCUUAGAGAAUAUAUCUGUUGAUCCAGUAACAAAAUCAGAGAAAGCCUGGAGUCUUGAGUGAAAUGAUCAUCAAUCAUAAGUAAUACAUGUACAUAGAAAUGUCAAUGUAAAGUGUACGUUUACGUUUUUCCAGGAAGAUCAGAAAUAGGUCCACGGAUUUAUUAAAAUGUACAAACAUACAAGGAAACAGACAGUAUCCAAGGCAAGAAAGUUUUUAUAGUUCUAACAAGCUUGAAGGCCAAUAUUUGGUAUGAUAACCUUUAUUCCUCAACACGGGCUUUCUUUAAGUAGUCUUCAGGAAUAGUUCUCCAGGCUUCUUCAAGGGCAUUCAAAGCUGCCCUUUGUUCUUUUUUUCUGUCAAGAUGAUUGUAUCCCCCUCAUUGGUUCAAAAAUACCUUUACGAAAAAUAUAUUUUGAUCAAUCUCAACAGUCAGAGAAUCUACAGUCUGUAAUGAUUAUUAAUCAUUGGUUACAGAUGUAACCCUUCAUUGGUGCAAGGAUUCCAUUUUAUGUCUGUCAAAUUGUUUUAUCUUUGGUAUUUUCAAUAGAUUCAACAGACAAAAUGUAAAUAAUUUAUGUGUUUGUGUGGCUGGCUUUGGGUUUUUUGUUAUGCAUAGACACAACACAGCCUUUUUCAUGCUUGAAUGACUCACAGAUCAGCGUUAAGUUGCUUAAUAAACAACAAAAAAACCAUCUCUAAAUGUAAAAGGAAUGAAAAUAAAUGAAAAAGCAGCCAAUAUCCAAAGUCUGACUGCUUAGAAAUACAUCAUAAAGAAACAAGGCGUGGCUAAAGACCUUUACACAGUGCUGAAUUUGACGUAAUUUAAUGUAUUAUGUCUAUGUUAAUGUUACAAAAUGCAUGCUGUCCUAAAAUUAACAUGAACAAAAUAUUAUUUUUAAAAAUGACUGUCCUUAUCUGACACUAUCUUCUCUAAUCCUGGUCAGCUGUUAAAAGAAUGAUACUGUCAUAGUAUUUUUCACACUCAACAAUGAAUUAAAAAAAGAUUCAUGGUGGGAACUAAAACCCGGAAUAUAUUUUAGAAAAGCAGGCAAACCUCGUCCUGUGGAGAAAUACGACAUAAAAAUGUUUAUGUAGCGAGGUCUUAGUGGGUUAGGACAAAUGAGAGGAAGUGUUCCUCUCCUGAGGUUUUGCUGUGACAGACACGCUGUCAGUGAUGUUUUUCUCUGGUCUGUGAAUGCAAAAGAGCUCCUUAGAAGUAAAUGUAAAAAGAAUUUUAUGUAACGUUACAUACAAACAAAUGAUUAAAAACAUAAUUAUCUCAGUAAAUGGCUGGAUGAAAAAGAAUACUAAAACUAAAAAAGAAAGUGAAAGAUGCUGUAAAAGGAAGUUGAAGCAACAUGCUCACAUGCCCAUGUUAUAUGUGGCCAUGUUCCUGCAAGAGUCCCUUUCAAGGAAGUCCUGCCAGACACACAAACAGGUUGGUCUGCAACAGCCUACAUAACACUUUCACACUUUAAUUUGCUAACUAUUUUGAGACAGGAAUGAUGUUUACAAGCUUUCUAAAGUGGAUUUCUUAUGGAAAUAUCUGUUUGUUGAACUUUUUUGGGUAUCCAAUAACCAUUUAGAUUUUAGAAUUAACAAUUUGCUCUUUCACAGACUACUAUUUGUGAUUUGAAAUUCUUCUGUAUGCUGCAAAAGACAAUCAGUAAAAAGACAGAUAUAAAACUAGAAAUAAUGCCAGAGAGUGAAAGACCAAAAUGCACCUCCGAACCUCGAACAACAAUAUUAGGGUGUAUCCUGGUGAUUUCCUGCAUCCUGUUCAUUGCUCAAGUGAUAGCUGCUUUAGCAACUGAUGAAUGCAAAGGAGAGUUCUACAUCCCCAUAUGCAUCUAUAAUUAUGGAUUCAUAUCUGCAUUUCUGGCACUGAGCAUGUGCACAGCGAAAAGAAUGCAGCAGUUUCCAAUUACACCAAGAAAGCAGUUGCUGUACCUGCUGCACCGAGGGCGGUGCAAGUGGUGCAACAUAGGCUGUUGCUCUGUGCCCCUCCUCGUCGUCUGUUUCUUUUACCUUGGUGUUAAUGUGUUCAUGUACUCGGAUAUAAAACCCAACUUCAAUAAGAGCGUAACCACAGGCAUUAUCUACUGCAACAAGACUUUCUACCUGUUUGCAUUUUGGAGCACCAACCUGACCUACGGCCUGUUGGGGCUGCUGUUCAUCACUUUUUGGUGUUGUAAACGACAACAGCCUGAAGACGGAGAUGAGGCUCAAAUACUCGUCCAGCAUUACCACACUAGGAUCCUAUGGUUCACUGUAUAUGAAGUCUAAUGUAUGUACUUUUAAAAAUUCUAACAGGUUAUCAUAUUGCAACAAAACUAUUACUAUAUGCUUCUUAAUUGGUUUUGCCUUGUAGAAAAAUGUUUGUUUCUACAUUAUUACCAGUUUCUGUGCUGUUUUUAAAUACAUCCAUGUAAUGUUACUUAUGUAUAACCACUGUUGAUACCAGGUAAUUACUACUGUAUUGUAUUUGACCAAAUUCCUGUGUAUUUUGUUUGAACCUAAAUAUAUUUACCUACAAAAACAUUAGAAACAGCAGAUCAGGGGAAGAAUAAUUCAAGGCUUUGGAGGAAAAAGUAAUUAUACUAGAAAUUAAAUUAAAUAAAAGAAAUUUAAGUAGUUGAUCAUUUCCAGGUAUUUUAGAGGUGGGAAGAAUCCUUUUUAUUUUUACAUUUUUAUUAUGAAAUAUAUUGUUGUGCGUCCUGCCUCUCACCCUAUGACAGCUGGGAUAGGCUCCAGUCCUCCUGUGACCCUGAAUGUGCAUCAUAAGAAUUUAACUAUUUAAUUGUGCUCUUACACUAUAUAUACAAUUUAUAUUAGACUACAUCAUGUAAAAUGUAAUAGGGACUGUCCUACCAUUUGUAAUAACAACAACAAACAUUGCAUAGCAAAGGCCCAUGUGAUCUUAUAAUGAUGGAGUCAGGUCUAAUUUGAUUUUCUUCUUUCAUAAACACUGUUCCAC
ensembl:lncRNA